GGUUAAGCGACUAAGCGUACACGGUGGAUGCCCUGGCAGUCAGAGGCGAUGAAGGACGUGCUAAUCUGCGAUAAGCGUCGGUAAGGUGAUAUGAACCGUUAUAACCGGCGAUUUCCGAAUGGGGAAACCCAGUGUGUUUCGACACACUAUCAUUAACUGAAUCCAUAGGUUAAUGAGGCGAACCGGGGGAACUGAAACAUCUAAGUACCCCGAGGAAAAGAAAUCAACCGAGAUUCCCCCAGUAGCGGCGAGCGAACGGGGAGGAGCCCAGAGCCUGAAUCAGUGUGUGUGUUAGUGGAAGCGUCUGGAAAGGCGCGCGAUACAGGGUGACAGCCCCGUACACAAAAAUGCACAUAUUGUGAGCUCGAUGAGUAGGGCGGGACACGUGGUAUCCUGUCUGAAUAUGGGGGGACCAUCCUCCAAGGCUAAAUACUCCUGACUGACCGAUAGUGAACCAGUACCGUGAGGGAAAGGCGAAAAGAAC
rnacentral:rRNA from 1 species